AGGGAGGCAGCGGGAUCCGAAGCUCCGAGACCUGGCGGGGGCGGGAUCCGAAGCUCCGGGACCUGGCGGGGGCGGGAUACUCUCGCUUAGGGAGGCAGCGGAAUCCGAAGCUCCGAGACCUGGCGGGGGCGGGGCAGAAUAGGCUCGCGGACUCGGACGAGUGACCAGAGUAGUGGAGGUGGAGGGAGCAGGGGGGAGCCUGAGGAACUUAUCCGAAGGGCACUUACAGCUGAAGUUUUCAUAGACUGUUCUACAGAUGAAGUUUGGCAUCUUGGGCAUCUCCUCUUACCUCUCAAGAUAGGAAGCACUCAUCCCGAGGAUAACAAACUCCCUAACCCUGCCUCCCCUUAUCACUGAGGAUUCCAGACCUUCUUAUGGCCAAAGAGAGUACUUCUGAUAACACGGGAGAGGAGGGAUGGAAGGAGGGAAAGAAUAAGCAUUUACACAACACCUACUACGUACCAGGUACUGUACUAAGCCCUUUUUACAAACAUUACCUCAUUUAAUCCUCACAACAUCCUUGCCAGUCAAAGUGCUAUUAUUAUCCUCAUUUUAUAGCUGAGGAAAUUAAUGCAAAUAUGUUAAACAGAGACAGCUAGUAAAUGUCUAAGGCUAGAUUUGAAAUCAGAUUUCCUGACUCCCGGCCCAGGGCUUUCUAUCCACCAUAUUUACUACCAGCUACGUGAGGGCACAGUAUUCUGCUUCUACUACAUUAGCUCCUAAAUCUCCAGAAAUGGCUUUUUUACCUGACUGAGAGCAGAGCUGAGGAGCUAACUUCUUAUGGUCGCAAAGCAGGGACAGAAGAUGAAUAGUCAGGAGGACAGUUGACAGAUGGGCUGUUGAGGAAAGGCACUGGAGCAACCCAUGGCUAUUCAGCACACACUGGAACCUGUAAAACAUAGAUAACCAAGGAUGCUGCACCAAUGAAGAGACACACAAAGGAUGUAGGCUUAGCUAUCCUGGGCCCCCUGAAGUUCCCCCUCUCCCCUGACUUGUACAAAGCAUUGCCUAUGUUAGCUUAUGCCCUGGCCCACUUCCAGACCACAGGCAUGUGGAAGGUGUGGACUUGACAACAGAUUAAGCCCCUUGUGGAGCCAUGUAUAAGGAAAAGGUUUUUAUUUCUUGUAACAUGAGUUUGUACCCUGGUCCACACCCAAAGACAGUGUGCCAACCUGGGGAUUACUGGUGUGUAUAGGCCAUAGUAGUUUGAACAAAGCAAAGGGAGAACUUUGGAUGAUGGUCUUUAGAUUCACUGGGCCCUGGUACCAAAGUUAUUAGGGAAACUGGAAGAUAUAACUCUGGCCUGGAUAUAACAGGCAUAGGGGGCAAAAAGGAGAAGAAGCCCAAUGGGCUGGUGGAAUUUAACUGCUUGAAUGAGGAAGGAAAGCACCUGUGAGGCUGGAGGCUAUGUGGUACCAACAGGACUCCAGCUCCACUCCAAGCACAAGACUCUGUUCUACAUGGGAGGUAGAGUAGAAGUGGGUUUUCCAGUAUCUGUGU